AGGAUGAACGCUGGCGGCGUGCCUAACACAUGCAAGUCGAACGUCCUGUCUCGCAAGAGGCAGGGAGUGGCGGACGGGUGAGUACCACGUGGGUUAUCUACCGUGAGGUGAGGAAUACCGGCGAGAAAUCGCCGACAAGACCGCAUAGCCUCGGUGCAAGUCGAGGAAAGCUCUCUCGAGAGAGGGAGCGCCACACGAGGAGCCUGCGCCCGAUUAGCUAGCUGGUGGAGUAAUGGUUCACCAGGGCGACGAUCGGUAGCUGGUCUGAGAGGACGAUCAGCCACACUGGGAUUGAGAACGGCCCAGACUCCUACGGGGGGCAGCAGUGAGGAAUUUUCGUCAAUGGGGCAACCCUGAACGAGCAAACGCCGCGUGCAGGAAGAAAGGUUUUCGGAUCGUAAACUGCUUUUCUCGGGAAGAGAACGGACGGUACCCGAGGAAAUCAGCCCCGGCUAACUACGUGCCAGCAGCCGCGGUAA
rnacentral:rRNA from 1 species